rnacentral:rRNA from 1 species
CGAUGAACGCUGGCGGCGUGCUUAACACAUGCAAGUCGAACGAUGAGGCCCAGCUUGCUGGGCCGAUUAGUGGCGAACGGGUGAGUAACACGUGAGUAACCUGCCCCCGACUCUGGGAUAAGCCCGGGAAACUGGGUCUAAUACCGGAUAUUCUCUCUCCGCCGCAUGGCGGGGGGUGGAAAGCGGUUUAGCGGUCGGGGAUGGACUCGCGGCCUAUCAGCUUGUUGGCGGGGUAACGGCCCACCAAGGCGACGACGGGUAGCCGGCCUGAGAGGGUGACCGGCCACACUGGGACUGAGACACGGCCCAGACUCCUACGGGAGGCAGCAGUGGGGAAUAUUGCACAAUGGGCGAAAGCCUGAUGCAGCGACGCCGCGUGAGGGAUGACGGCCUUCGGGUUGUAAACCUCUUUCAGUAGGGAAGAAGCGAAAGUGACGGUACCUGCAGAAGAAGCGCCGGCUAACUACGUGCCAGCAGCCGCGGUAAUACGUAGGGCGCAAGCGUUAUCCGGAAUUAUUGGGCGUAAAGAGCUCGUAGGCGGUUUGUCGCGUCUGCCGUGAAAGUCCGGGGCUCAACCCCGGAUCUGCGGUGGGUACGGGCAGACUAGAGUGAUGUAGGGGAGACUGGAAUUCCUGGUGUAGCGGUGAAAUGCGCAUAUAUCAGGAGGAACACCGAUGGCGAAGGCAGGUCUCUGGGCAUUAACUGACGCUUAGGAGCGAAAGCAUGGGGAGCGAACAGGAUUAGAUACCCCUGGUAGUCCAUGCCGUAAACGUUGGGCACUAGG